GCGCCCGUAGCUCAGCUGGAUAGAGUGUCUGCCUCCGGAGCAGAAGGUCAGAGGUUCGAGUCCUCUCGGGCGUACCA
rnacentral:tRNA from 1 species